rnacentral:rRNA from 1 species
UAGAACGGAACUGUUUUGAAAGAUUUCUUCGGAAUGAAUUUGAUUUAGUUUAGUGGCGGACGGGUGAGUAACGCGUGAGUAACCUGCCUUCAAGAGGGGGAUAACAUUCUGAAAAGAAUGCUAAUACCGCAUGAUAUAUCGGAAUCACAUGAUUUUGAUAUCAAAGAUUUUAUCGCUUGAAGAUGGACUCGCGUCCGAUUAGUUAGUUGGUGAGGUAACGGCUCACCAAGACCGCGAUCGGUAGCCGGACUGAGAGGUUGAACGGCCACAUUGGGACUGAGACACGGCCCAGACUCCUACGGGAGGCAGCAGUGGGGGAUAUUGCGCAAUGGGGGCAACCCUGACGCAGCAACGCCGCGUGAAGGAUGAAGGUUUUCGGAUUGUAAACUUCUUUUAUUAAGGACGAAAAAUGACGGUACUUAAUGAAUAAGCUCCGGCUAACUACGUGCCAGCAGCCGCGGUAAUACGUAGGAGCAAGCGUUGUCCGGAUAUACUGGGUGUAAAGGGUGCGUAGGCGGCUUUGCAAGUCAGAUGUGAAAUCUAUGGGCUCAACCCAUAAACUGCAUUUGAAACUGUAGAGCUUGAGUGAAGUAGAGGCAGGCGGAAUUCCCCGUGUAGCGGUGAAAUGCGUAGAGAUGGGGAGGAACACCAGUGGCGAAGGCGGCCUGCUGGGCUUUAACUGACGCUGAGGCACGAAAGCGUGGGUAGCA